GUAGAGCAGCGAUGUUGUCCCUCAUCUCUGCCUUGUCUAGGAGCAGCUUCAUGCAUUCCUUGUACAAAGGCAUUAUCAGUCCUUCCCGAGGCAGAGCAAGGCUGUUCUUGGCUGGGUAGCACUUGCGGAUCUUUGUGCCUUUGGAGAGACAACCGGGAAGGCUGUUGUUGGCUGGGUAGCAUUUGUGGACCUGUGUGCCUUUGGAGAGACAGUCGGUAAGGCUGUUCUUGGCUUGGAAGCACUUGUGGAUCUUUAUGCCUUUGGAGAGACAACUGAGAAGGCUGUUCUUGGCUUGGAAGCACUUGUGGAUCUUUGUGCCUUUGGAGAGACAGACGGGAAGGCUGUUCUUGGCUGGGAAGCACUUGUGGAUCUUUGUGCCUUUGAAGAGACAACCGGGAAGGUUGUUCUUGGCUGGGUAGCAUUUGUGGAUCUUUGUGCUUCUGAAUAGGCAACUGGCAAGGUUGUUCCUCUCUGAGUAGCACUUCAGGAUCUUUGUGCCUUUGGAGAGGCAACCGGAUCCGGAAAAUGCUUGCUUCACAUCAUAAUAACAUUUGGAAUAAAGAAUAUCAGUGCCCAUGAGAAGCUAACAAACCCAACAGGCAAGCAACCUUCUUCCAGGUA
rnacentral:lncRNA from 1 species